rnacentral:rRNA from 1 species
AACGAACGCUGGCGGCAUGCCUAACACAUGCAAGUCGAACGAGACCUUCGGGUCUAGUGGCGCACGGGUGCGUAACGCGUGGGAAUCUGCCCUUGGGUUCGGAAUAACUCGCCGAAAGGCGUGCUAAUACCGGAUGAUGUAUAUUUACGGCAUCGUAGAUAUAUCAAAGUGUUAGCGGUAUAGGAUGGACCCGCGUCUGAUUAGCUAGUUGGUGAGAUAACUGCCCACCAAGGCGACGAUCAGUAGCCGACCUGAGAGGGUGAUCGGCCACAUUGGAACUGAGACACGGUCCAA